GACAGAGGGUGCAAACGUUGUUCGGAAUUACUGGGCGUAAAGCGCGUGUAGGCUGCUUGGAAAGUCGGAUGUGAAAGCCCCGGGCUCAACCUGGGAACUGCAUUGGAUACUGGCGAUCUGGAGUGCGGUAGAGGGUGGCGGAAUUCCCGGUGUAGCAGUGAAAUGCGUAGAUAUCGGGAGGAACAUCCGUGGCGAAGGCGGCCACCUGGACCAGCACUGACACUGAGGCACGAAAGCGUGGGGAGCAAACAGG
rnacentral:rRNA from 1 species